UCUGAAUCUCCCCUGGUGCAAUGUGAGGCCCUUCCCUCUAGUCCUAUCACUAGUUACAUGGGAGAAGAGGCCAACCUCCAUCUCACCACAACCUUCUUUCAAGUUGUUGUAGAGAGUGAUAAGGUCUACCCUGAGCCUCUUCUUCUCCAGACUAAAUAUUCCCAGAUCCCUCAGCCACUCCUCGUAAGACUUGCGCUCCAGACCCCUCACCAGCUUCACUGCCCUUCUCUGAACAUGCUCCAGGGCCUCAAUGUCUUUCUUGGAAUGAGGAGCCCAAAACUGAACACAGUACUCAAAGCGUGAUCUCACCAGUGCCAAGUACAGGGGAAUUAUUACUUCCCUGCUCCUGCUGGCAACACUAUUUCUGAUACAAGCUAGGAUGCCAUUGGCCACCUUGGCCACCUGGUCACACUGCUGGCUCAUGUUCAUUUGAGAGUCAAUCAAUACCCCCAGGUCCAUUUCCUCUACACAGUCUUCCAGCCACUCUGCCCCAAGCCUGUAGUGUCGCCUGAGGUUGUUGUGGCCAAAGUGCUGGACCCAGCACUUGGUCUUGUUGAACUUCAUCCCACUGGCCUCAGCCCAGCUACCCAGCCUGUCCAGAUUGCUCUAUAGGGCCUUCCUACCCCCAGGCAGAUCAACGCUUCUCCCCAGCUUGGUGUCAUCUGCAAACUUACUGAGGGUACACUCAAUGCCCUCAUCCAGGUCAUCAGUAAAGAUAUUGAAAAGGACAAGCCCCAGUACCAACCCCUUGGGAGCACCACUCAUGACUGGUCAACAGCUAGAUGUGACUCCAUUUACCACUGCACUCUGAGGCCAGCCAUCCAGCAAGGUGUGUACCUGUCCAAGACACGGGCUGUCAGGUUUCCCAGAAGAAUACUGUGAGAGACAGUGUCAAAGGCUUCACCAAAGUCUAGGUAGACCACAUUAACAGCCUUUCCCUCAUCCACCAGGCAGGUCAAUUGAUCAUAGAAGGAGUUCAGGUUGGUCAAGCAGGACCUGCCUUUCAUGAAUCCAUGCUGGCUAGGCCUGAUCCCCCUAGUUGUCCUGCACAUGCCAUGUGAUCUCCCUCAAGACGAUCUACUCCAUAACCUUCCCUGGCACCAAGGUCAGGCUGACAGGCCUGUAGUUCCCCGGAUCUUCUUUACAACCCUUCUUGUAGAUGGGAGUCAUGCUGGCAAGACUCCAAUCCUCUGGGACCAGGAAUGCUGACAGAUGGUGGAAAGUGGCUUGGCAAUCACCUCUGCCAGCUCCCUCAGCACCCUCAGGUGGAUCCCUUCCAGCCCCCAUGGACUUGUGGCAGUCCAGGUCCUGCUGCACAAGAUACAGAUUUCUCAUGUUGCCCAAAACCAGCUUGGACAGCUUGGUGUUAUCUUUUGUUUUAUCAGUUUGGAUUGACAAGUUAUUUGAAGGAUGACAGUGCUCAAGGUAAAACCGUAUUAUCUCAAA
rnacentral:lncRNA from 1 species